AAAGCUUUAAGUUAAAAAACUAUUAACCUUCAAAGUUAAAAUUAUAGGAUGUCCUAUAAGCUUUA
rnacentral:tRNA from 1 species